GAAAAUUAAAAGUAUAUUUGUAUUUUCUGUUGCCUCCAGUUUAGAGGACUUUGCCUCUGAACAGAAAAAUGUGUACAGUCAGGGGUUUGGUGGAUUUAGCAGGUGGGGAAAACUGGUUUUAAUCGAUCAGUGUGGGGGAAAAAAAAAUCAUAACUCACAUUAAUCUGUACUGAGAGCUCGAGUAGAUUUGCAGGCUGUGAUCAGCUGACCUGCUGCUCUUUGAGGAUGUAAACACCUGAAUUAUACCUGAUGUGAGCAGAUGUUUCAUGAGUUGUCCUGGCUGAUUUCCAUCCUCUACACUGCCAGUAAACUGUUUAUGCCAUCUUUUUUCUACAUGGUAUGAAGGUGGAAUUCAUUGAAUGAAUUUAAGGAACUUCAGCUACAAUUCAAAAGAAUCUCUGCUGAAUCUCAGUUGACGUGACUUCACUCUGAGCAUGAAACCACAGCCACUAUGUACCUGACACUUAAAAAACAUCACUCCCUUUAUCCUCGCUCCUCCUCAGUAGGGUUAGCUAGAUGCCAGCCGUCAUUCCUUUGUGGUGGCAAAAACAAAACAAAACAAACAACAAAAACACGCAGUCCCACUUUUAACCCCUGACUUUGGUCUUCCAUGUGUUUCUGUUCAGGCUGAAAUUAAAGGCUCAAAGGCUUCAAUUCCUCUUUCACUCCCUGAUUUGUAGUUAGAUACUAAGUUGUUCCCACACAGAGCUCAGAGAUCUGCAGAAAAGCCAUGGCUGUCCGACAGCAGCCCACCCAGAUGAUGACAACUGCCAGUGCUGGGCAGUGGACCACCGGCCUUUGUGAAUGUUGUGUUGAUAUGGAGACCUGUUGCUGUGGCUUUUGGUGUUUCCCCUGCAUGCAGUGUGAUGCAGCCAGUAAACAUGGAUGGUGCUGCGCACUGCCACUGCUGGAUGUUUGUGGUGUGGUGUCCUGCUUACUCCGUGGGUCCAUCAGAGAGCGCCACAACAUUGUUGGCUCGUUCUGUGAUGACUGCUGUAAAGUGUGCUGGUGUUACCCGUGCGUUUGGUGCCAGAUGCAUCGUGAGCUGAAGAUCAGGCAGUAAUAGCAGCCCGCCACCUCGACUGCUGCCAGCACGCAGGUCGUCUGUGGAUAGGAUGCAAACAUUUCGGCUGUGUGUUGAGGGCCUAUGUCACUGCUGAAGAAAAAUGCUUUAAAUUUGUUGUCAUAUUAAUGUGUCGAAUCCUAUUUGACUUUUUCAGGCCAAUAAAAUCCUUUAAUUUUAUACAA